rnacentral:rRNA from 1 species
UACGGGGGGGGUAAGCGUUGUUCGGAAUUACUGGGCGUAAAGGGCGCGUAGGCGGCCUGUUAAGUCGAACGUGAAAUCCCCGGGCUCAACCUGGGAACUGCGUCCGAUACUGGAUGGCUUGAAUUCGGGAGAGGGAUGCAGAAUUCCAGGUGUAGCGGUGAAAUGCGUAGAUAUCUGGAGGAAUACCGGUGGCGAAGGCGGCAUCCUGGACCGACAUUGACGCUGAGGAGCGAAAGCUAGGGGAGCAAACGGG